rnacentral:rRNA from 1 species
GAUACGACCGUACCGCAAACCGACACUGGUGCGCGAGAUGAGUAUUCUAAGGCGCUUGAGAGAACUCAGGAGAAGGAACUUGGCAAAUUGACACCGUAACUUCGGAAGAAGGUGUGCCCUAUUAGUGUGUAGUGAACAACGAAGCAUGAAUGGGUUGCAAAAAAUCGGUGGCUGCGACUGUUUAUUAAAAACACAGCACUCUGCAAACACGAAAGUGGACGUAUAGGGUGUGACGCCUGCCCGGUGCUGGAAGAUUAAAUGAUGGGGUGCAAGCUCUUGAUUGAAGUCCCAGUAAACGGCGGCCGUAACUAUAACGGUCCUAAGGUAGCGAAAUUCCUUGUCGGGUAAGUUCCGACCUGCACGAAUGGCGUAACGAUGGCCACACUGUCUCCUCCUGAGACUCAGCGAAGUUGAAAUUUUGUGAUGAUGCAAUCUCCCCGCGGAAAGACGGAAAGACCCCAUGAACCUUUACUGUAGCUUUGUAUUGGACUUUGAACAGAUCUGUGUAGGAUAGGUGGGAGGCUUUGAAGCAGGGUCGCUAGAUCUUGUGGAGCCAACGUUGAAAUACCACCCUGGUGUGUUUGAGGUUCUAACCUAGGUCCAUUAUCUGGAUCGGGGACAGUGCAUGGUAGGCAGUUUUGACUGGGGCGGUCUCCUCCCAAAGCGUAACGGAGGAGUUCGAAGGUACGCUAGUUACGGUCGGACAUCGUGACGAUAGUGCAAUGGCAUAAGCGUGCUUAACUGCGAGACUGACAAGUCGAGCAGAUGCGAAAGCAGGACAUAGUGAUCCGGUGGUUCUGUAUGGAAGGGCCAUCGCUCGACGGAUAAAAGGUACUCUGGGGAUAACAGGCUGAUACCGCCCAAGAGUUCAUAUCGACGGCGGUGUUUGGCACCUCGAUGUCGGCUCAUCUCAUCCUGGGGCUGUAGCCGGUCCCAAGGGUAUGGCUGUUCGCCAUUUAAAGAGGUACGUGAGCUGGGUUUAAAACGUCGUGAGACAGUUUGGUCCCUAUCUUCCGUGGGCGCUGCAGAUUUGAGGAAGCCUGCUCCUAGUACGAGAGGACCGGAGUGGACACACCUCUGGUGUAUCGGUUGUCACGCCAGUGGCAUUGCCGAGUAGCUAAGUGUGGAAGAGAUAACCGCUGAAAGCAUCUAAGCGGGAAACUCGUUUCAAGAUGAGAUCUGCCGGGGCCUUGAGCCCCCUAAAGAGUCGUUCAAGACCAGGACGUUGAUAGGUCAGGUGUGGAAGUG